rnacentral:rRNA from 1 species
GAUGAACGCUGGCGGCGUGCCUAAUACAUGCAAGUCGAGCGAACAGACGAUUCUCUUGCUCCUCUGACGUUAGCUUCUGCCGUUUGAUUAACCCUUGGAUAACCUACCUCUAAUCCUGGUAUACCUUCGGGAAACCUGACCUACUACCGGAUAAUCUAUUGCACCGCAUGGUUCAAUAGUGAACGACUGUUUUUCUGUCCCUUCUAGAUUUCUCCGCUCCGCAUUAGCUAGUUGGUAAGGUAACGGCUUACCAAGGCGACGAUGCGUAGCCGACCUGAGAGGGUGAUCGGACACACUGGAACUGAGACACGGUCAAGAAUCCUACGGGAGGAAGCAGUAGGGAAUCUUCCGCAAUGGGAGAAAGCCUGACGGAGCAACGCCGCGUGAGUGAUGAAGGUAUUCGGAUCGUAAAACUCUGUUAUUAGGGAAGAAAAAAUGGGUAAGUAACUAUGCACGUAUUGACGGUACCUAAUCAGAAAGCCACGGCUAACUACGUG